UUAAACAUUAAAUCUCAAUAAAAACAAAAACAAAAACAACAACAACAACAAGCAAAAUCAAUAGAAUCGUUAAAUAUUAAAUCGCAACAACAAUAAGAACAAAAACAAAAUCAAUAAUAUCGUUAAACAUUAAGUCUCAACACAAACAAUAAAAACAACAACAAGAAAAAACAAAAACAACAACAACAAGAAAAAAUAAAA
rnacentral:lncRNA from 1 species